CCUACGGGAGGCAGCAGUGGGGAAUUUUGGACAAUGGGCGCAAGCCUGAUCCAGCAAUGCCGCGUGAGUGAAGAAGGCCUUCGGGUUGUAAAGCUCUUUUGUCAGGGAAGAAACGGUCUACUCUAAUACAGUGGGCUAAUGACGGUACCUGAAGAAUAAGCACCGGCUAACUACGUGCCAGCAGCCGCGGUAAUACGUAGGGUGCAAGCGUUAAUCGGAAUUACUGGGCGUAAAGCGUGCGCAGGCGGUUAUAUAAGUCAGAUGUGAAAUCCCCGGGCUCAACCUGGGAACUGCAUUUGAGACUGUAUGGCUAGAGUGUGUCAGAGGGGGGUAGAAUUCCACGUGUAGCAGUGAAAUGCGUAGAUAUGUGGAGGAAUACCGAUGGCGAAGGCAGCCCCCUGGGAUAACACUGACGCUCAUGCACGAAAGCGUGGGGAGCAAACAGGAUUAGAUACCCUGGUAGUCCACGCCCUAAACGAUGUCUACUAGUUGUCGGGACUUAAUUGUCUUGGUAACGCAGCUAACGCGUGAAGUAGACCGCCUGGGGAGUACGGUCGCAAGAUUAAAACNCAAAUGAAUUGACGG
rnacentral:rRNA from 1 species